rnacentral:rRNA from 1 species
UACAGAGGGUGCAAGCGUUAAUCGGAAUUACUGGGCGUAAAGCGCACGCAGGCGGUUGGUUAAGUCAGAUGUGAAAGCCCCGGGCUCAACCUGGGAAUUGCAUUUGAAACUGGCCAACUAGAGUACGUGAGAGGGGGGUAGAAUUCCAAGUGUAGCGGUGAAAUGCGUAGAGAUUUGGAGGAAUACCAGUGGCGAAGGCGGCCCCCUGGCACAAUACUGACGCUCAGGUGCGAAAGCGUGGGGAGCAAACAGG